CAGUAGCUCAUUGGUAGAGCGCCCGCUUCGAGUGCGGGAAGACCUGGGUUCGAUUCCUGGCUG
rfam:Toxocara canis scaffold157, whole genome shotgun sequence.